rnacentral:rRNA from 1 species
UACGAAGGGGGCUAGCGUUGUUCGGAUUUACUGGGCGUAAAGCGCACGUAGGCGGAUCGUUAAGUCGGGGGUGAAAUCCUGGAGCUCAACUCCAGAACUGCCUUCGAUACUGGCGAUCUAGAGUCCGGAAGAGGUGAGUGGAACUCCUAGUGUAGAGGUGGAAUUCGUAGAUAUUAGGAAGAACACCGAGUGCGAAGGCGGCUCACUGG